GAAUAUUGCACAAUGGGGGAAACCCUGAUGCAGCGACGCCGCGUGAGUGAAGAAGUAUUUCGGUAUGUAAAGCUCUAUCAGCAGGGAAGAAAAUGACGGUACCUGACUAAGAAGCCCCGGCUAACUACGUGCCAGCAGCCGCGGUAAUACGUAGGGGGCAAGCGUUAUCCGGAUUUACUGGGUGUAAAGGGAGCGUAGGUGGUUCGGUAAGUCAGAUGUGAAAGCCCGGGGCUCAACCCCGGGAUUGCAUUUGAAACUAUCGUACUAGAGUGCAGGAGAGGUAAGUGGAAUUCCUAGUGUAGCGGUGAAAUGCGUAGAUAUUAGGAGGAACACCAGUGGCGAAGGCGGCUUACUGGACUGUAACUGACACUGAGGCUCGAAAGCGUGGGGAGCAAACAGG
rnacentral:rRNA from 1 species